UACGUAGGGCGCAAGCGUUGUCCGGAAUUAUUGGGCGUAAAGAGCUCGUAGGCGGUCUGUCACGUCUGCCGUGAAAACCCGAGGCUUAACCUCGUGGCUUGCGGUGGAUACGGGCAGACUAGAGUGCGGUAGGGGAGACUGGAAUUCCUGGUGUAGCGGUGAAAUGCGCAGAUAUCAGGAGGAACACCGGUGGCGAAGGCGGGUCUCUGGGCCGUAACUGACGCUGAGGAGCGAAAGCGUGGGGAGCGAACAGG
rnacentral:rRNA from 1 species